rnacentral:tRNA from 1 species
CACAUCACUCAUAAUGAUGGGGUCACAGGUUCGAAUCCCGUCGUAGCCACCA